CCAGGCCGAGCUGGGGCAUCUCUGCUCUCCUCUUUCUCUCCAGUCCUCCACUCUCCCCUCUGCGCCACCGUCAAACUUCGCCGCCGGAUCCGAGCCCGCCCGCCGCCGCCCGCCUCGGCUCUCACCCGGACCUUCCAAUCUACUCCGGCAGUACAAACUAAGCUUCAUCCCCUCGCGGGUAUCGCCCCGCGCAGCCAGCAGGACCCAGGCGAGUGCGGCACGGCAAGGCGGCGUGGCGUGCGCUCGCCGGGCUGCCGCGGUAGAGCGGCAAAGCAGGGCACGCGACCAGGCGGCACGGAAGGGGAUCACAGGCUUGCGGUUUUCUUAAACAUUCUAACUCUAUUACGAAUCCACGAGUUGCACCUUGGCAGCAUAGAAUGAUUCUGUAAUCAUGUAGUUGCCUCCAUGGCUCUUAAGGUUGCGUCUUGCAUACGGUUUUCAAGACUGCGCCUGUUGUCGAGCAGGCUAGCAUACUGCUCUCUCUCGGAUGUGCCUGCUUCUCGUGCUUCUGGGGGUACAGCGGGGUCCACUGAGUUCGAUUCUGCAAUCCGGUCGCUCAAGAACAACAAUCUCCGGCCAGAGAUACUGACCCGCGUUCUUGAUUCUACUUCAGAUUUGAACUUGGCCCUUCGGAUAUUUAAAUGGGCAUCAGGUCAGAGGAUAUUUGCUCAUACGGCUGACACAUACGCCUGCAUGAUCUCCAAGCUCGGUGUUGUUGGGAAUUGUGAUGAGAUGGACAGCCUCCUAAAGGAGAUGAUUAAAUUGAAUGCCCCUAUAUUGGAAAAAAUCUUGAACGACUUAGUUCAGUUCCUGAGCAAUAAGAACCGUUGCGAUGAAGCCUUGCUGGUGAUUCAGAAUGCUUGCUCUGGGAAGCUCAAGAUCUCAGUGUCAUCUUGCAAUGCUGUGCUGUGUGGUUUAGUCAAGGAAGGGAGGGGUUUGCGACCAUUCAUCCGUGCGUACGUGGAGAUUGUGAAGGCGGGAGUCCUUCCUGAUGUGGAUACCUUGAAUUGCUUAAUUGAGGCUUUGUGUGAAGCUGGCAAAUUAGACCUGGCGCUGAUUCAGCUUGACAGGAUGAGCAAGAAAAGGUGUACUCCUAAUAGCCACACUUUCAAGAUACUCAUAACAGCGCUUUGUUCUCACGGCAGAGCAGAUGAAUCAAUAGAAAUUUUUGAGGAGAUGAUGCAGCUGAGAUGCAUCCCCGAUAGCUGCUUUUAUGUUCAAGUGCUGCCCUUAUUUUGUAAGUUCAAUAAACCCAAGGAGGCAAGUAAGUUGUAUCAAAUGAUGAAACAAGCCAGCCUUCAGUUGGACCUACAUUCUUAUGGUGCCUUGAUUAAAUGUUUGUGUGAGAACCAACUAUUGGAUGAUGCCGUCAUGACAUUUACAGAAAUGAUAGCGUCAGGUCAUGCACCAAUGACAAAUACCUAUGUGAAUGUUGUAGAUUGCUAUUGUACAUUAUCCCAGUUCCACAAAGCUGUGAGUUUUCUUGAGGAAAAUGAUGUCGCAGAAACAGAGCCAUAUAAUGUACUGUUGAGAGUGUUAUGUGAAACAGGUACUGUGAGAGAUUUAGUGAGCUAUUUUGAGGAAUUUCGCACAAGGGGGAUGGUUGAUUGUCGCUCAUGGAACAUAGUUAUCACUCAGUUCUGCAAUGAAGGGAACAUUAGAAGAGCAUCUGAGCUUAUUGGUAGAAUGACAGUUUCUUCUUUUACAGCUGAUGAGAGUACUUAUUCUUCUGUUGUAUCUUGUUACUGUCGGUUAGGGUUGCACAGGACUGCCCUAGAUCUGUUCAGAAGGGCCAGUGUUAGUAAUCUGGUACUGAAUUCAGAAUCUUUCUCGCAGCUGGUAGAAGGUUUGUGCCACAUGGAGCGGAUCCAAGAAGCUGCUGAAGUUUUUAAAUAUCACUGCAAAAAAGGUUGCAGCCUUACCAGCGAGGCGCUUGAUAUACUAAUCCAAGGGAGCUGUAUGGCUGGAAUGAUAUGUGACGCAAUCAGAAUGCGUUCACUAGCUGUUUGCACUGGCACUUCUUGCACAUUUUCAACUUAUAACACAAUUAUCCAUGCACUACUGCGUUUGAAGAAGGAGAAGGAUCUGUCGCUUCUCCUUGCACAGAUGCUGAUGGAAGGUUGUCUAUUGGACAGCUACACAUACAAUGUUCUUGUCCGUUGUUUCCUCACCAAGGAGACAAUUCUUGAGGCUGCUCUGUUGUUCAACAAAAUGGUGAAUGAUGACUUUGUUCCUGACCAAGAGACAUUUGAACUAUUAGUCCCUGAUAUGGCCGUGUUUUCGUUACUAAGCAGGGUUUCAGAAAGUUUACUGAAAGUGGUAAGUAUAGAUGGAAUGGCAAGCCCUAGAAUUUAUAACAUUAUCAUUUAUGGCCUUAUCAAAGAAGGCUUCAAGAGUGAGGCAUGUAAGUUUUUGGAUCAAAUGCUAGACAAGGGAUGGGUACCUGAUUCAAAGACACAUCGUGUGUUAGUUGGGACAAUUGAUGGAGAGGAGGCUAGAGAAGUUGGCAAUUCCUUCCGAACAGCUGAUGAUGACACUGUAAGCAACAUACUGUUGGAGGGUCUAGAAUAGAGUCUGGAACAAAACACUAUUUCUCCAUAUCAUGUGACUACGUAUUACAGGCCAGGGAGAGACUUUUCCAGUUUUCAGGCAGUUACGAAUAUGUGUUGAGAUUAAAUGUUGGAUGCUCAAGCAACUUCAGCUCUGACACGAAGGCUGUUGAAAUUAGGAAUAUCUGCAGCUGGCGAGAUGCUCAGUGCGGGUCCUGGCGAUGACGGCCUCAUGAGCUCCGAGUUGUACCUCGCCGUGCGUGGGGGCAGAAAGGAGGAAGCCAUGGCGCUGCUUCUGCAACAAUACAGUGGCGCCCAUGCUGCUGAUGAAAUCUCUGGUAUACACCAGGUCAGCCCGGAGAGGAACAAUGUUCUUCAUUUGGCCGCGGAUCAAGGGCAUGACGAGCUGAUCCGGGAGCUCUACACCAGCUUUGGUGACAAGACCUUGCUCUCUUCCCCCAACUCGGCUCUGGACACGCCGCUGCACUGCGCGGCGAGGGCUGGGCAUGAGAUGGCCGUGUCGCUCCUCAUCCAGCUCGCUAUGGACAGCGGAGAUCAGAGCAUCUUGUGCUGCAAGAACGAGGCUGGGGACACGGCCCUGCAUCUAGCGGCAAGGCUCGGCCAUGGCGCG